rnacentral:rRNA from 1 species
UGGGCUUGACAUGCGCCAGACAUCCCCAGAGAUGGGGCUUCCCUUGUGGUUGGUGUACAGGUGGUGCAUGGCUGUCGUCAGCUCGUGUCGUGAGAUGUUGGGUUAAGUCCCGCAACGAGCGCAACCCUUAUCCUACGUUGCCAGCGCGUUAUGGCGGGGACUCGUGGGAGACUGCCGGGGUCAACUCGGAGGAAGGUGGGGAUGACGUCAAGUCAUCAUGCCCCUUAUGUCCAGGGCUUCACACAUGCUACAAUGGCUGGUACAGAGGGCUGCGAUACCGCGAGGUGGAGCGAAUCCCUUAAAGCCGGUCUCAGUUCGGAUCGCAGUCUGCAACUCGACUGCGUGAAGUCGGAGUCGCUAGUAAUCGCAGAUCAGCAACGCUGCGGUGAAUACGUUCCCGGGCC